GCACAACAGCGGGGCGGAAGGAGCAGAGAGGGAGGGAGGCCUCUGAUUGGAGGAGGCUUGGUGGCAUGAAGCUGACUUAGUUGGAGAACGGGCUUAUGGGGAUCUCCCCUUUCAGGAAGAUGAGAACUGCUAUAAGGAUUCAGGAAAACCCCUGAGGCCCAGGAUGUGGAGAACUGAGCGCCCCGUCCCUCACCGCCGAUUCCAUUCUUCCAUCCCAAGGAGGAGAGCCACUCGAAUGUCCUGAAAGACACUGGGACUCCGAGGACAGGAUGGGUCAGUCAAGCCAUAACAGAGCAUGGAGCCAGUUCCUUUGUCCACCCUGUCAUCUUCUAGGAACUAGGAAGCACCCUUCCUGGGUCCCUGCCCCAGUGGACUUCUCCAGUUCUUCCUUCCCAGCCGUUGCUGUGGCAUUAGCCAUCUGGAAAAAGAGCUGCUGGUAGGACCUGGGACUUUUGUUCACACCCAUAAGCCUUCCCUCCAGAUAUCCAGUACUUUGCCUUCAGGAAGGAGACUUGAACUUCAGGCAACAGGAGAAAACCAAACCUUCAAGGGCUUUGGUUCCCUCCAAGGCCAAGGUUCCCAAGAUCCUUGGUUAAGAGGUCUGGGCCACUGCCCUCCCGUCUUCACUCUUCUUUUCCCUGUUUGUCCCAGAGUUCUGCUAUAACCCCAAAGCUUUUCUGUUUACCAUCAACAUGGAAACUUGACUCUUCAUAUAGGUAUAUUUUCCCUCUUUUGUGCAUCAUCUUGUUCCCAAAAACUGCCUUUUCAUGAAGGAGGCUUGUGGGACUCAAGGGGCCUGGCCAGUCACCCAGGCUCCCCCGAAGCCUCAGACCACUGGUAAUGUGGAGAAGUUUAAUAAAGAUGUCAUUACUUCUUGACUUGUAGCUUGUGUUCAGUGUGCUGAUUCAGAAGUGAAGACUCAGAGGGAUCCUUUUUAUCCUUCCCACUUAAACCAGGUGGAACG
ensembl:lncRNA